UGACGACGAUGUUGUUAAUUUGGGGGCGGUGGGCUAAAGCGCAUGCAAAAUCUGGUCCUUAAUUCGACCUUGAACUAUAACUCAACCCAUUUAACUAGCUGGAAAACUGGGCCACGCAACACAUGACUUCAACCUUCAACGAAAAAGAGUGGGAGGGAGGAAGUUGAAGAAAGGGAACAAAAAUAAGGAAUAAGGUGGCACGCUGAGGGCCGACGCCUCUUCUCGAAGCCCGGGUUAUUCGAGUUAGUGAGCUGAUGUCAAAGUUAUUCUUAGGUCGGGGUUGGCUGGAAGAGGGAACAUAUCAACAACCAUGGGCAUUGAUGAAUGGAACAGGCCGAGCUAUGGCUUGCGAUUGGCAGGCGCCGGGCCACCACUGCACGGCACUAGAGAUAGUACGCUUGGAGGAAUGAGGACAAUGUCAUUGUUGCUGGGCGCGAUCUAGUUUAUAUACUGGUAUUUGCGCAUAUCUGGAGGCUGUCUCUGGGACCAAAGUUCCGAUAGA
rnacentral:sRNA from 1 species